rnacentral:lncRNA from 1 species
CUCACUCCGACAGACGGCGACAACUAUUGGUGGAGGCUAGGGUUUGCUUUCUUUGGUGGAGGCUAGGGUUUGAUGAAGGAAGGAGUUGGAGAAGGGGGGAAUGGGGUAUAACGCGCAACUUUUUCCCUUUCAAGGAAGGAAACGAGGUCGUUUUCUGUGAACCGGCCGGGUUCCGGUCCGGUCCGACUUGCCGGUAACGGCCGGUUCAGCGGUUUUUGAGCGGUUUUUAAUUUUACGGUUUUGCACGUUAGAUCGGACCGUUUUCUUUGCCGGUUUCCGGUUGAACCGGUUCGACCGGCCGGUCCGAUCCGACUUUCAGAACAUUGCAUUAAAGUGAAAUUGCUAGGGUUUGCUUUCUUUGGUGGAGGCUAGGGUUUGAUGAAGGAAGGAGUUGGAGAAGGGGGGAAUGGGGUAUAACGCGCAACUUUUUCCCUUUCAAGGAAGGAAACGAGGUCGUUUUCUGUGAACCGGCCGGGUUCCGGUCCGGUCCGACUUGCCGGUAACGGCCGGUUCAGCGGUUCUUGAGCGGUUUUUAAUUUUACGGUUUUGCACGCUGGAUUGGACCGUUUUCUUUGCUGGUUUUCAGAACAUUGGUGAGAAGAACAUUAAACUUACUCGUGGAUAAAACUAACGCAGGUAGAAGUAACUGCACAAAUACAAUCCAAAAUUUUCAAGAAUUUAUGAGGAGUUAGUUUCAGAUGUA